ACUAGCAGGUACCACAUUACCAAUGUGGGAAUUUUUCUCUUCUUUGCAUCGUUGCCUAAUGUAGUGUCCUCUGGUGGUUGAGAUUCUUGUACCACCUUUUUUGCCCCCUUCCUCUGGUGGAGGAUUCUCUGCCACUGUAAAGGUCAUUGUUCUUGUACCGACUGGCCCCACACCACGGACAUUUGUCUAGAUCUUUGAACGUAUCACCACAAAAAAGGAUACAGUGGUUGGGGCAUGCAUCUAUUUUCUCAACACCCAUUGACAAUGGACUUAUAACCUUCUUUGCAUGAUAUGUGUUGGUGGGAACUAAGUUUGGUUGUGGCAACACCCAUGAUAAGAGACCCAACAGAUCAUUGAAACUGCAGUCAGACCAGCUGUACUUUGCCUUCAAGAUGAUUAGCUCAAGCACAAAAUAGAGCAGUGUCCAGUGGGGUCGGACAACCCUUCUCAACACUGUACAUAGUCUCCAUCGAUGCUUUUUUCACCCUCUCUACAUUUUCUACACCUUUAUUCCGCAGUAAUAUUUCUGGUCCAAUUGCCCGAAUCAUGUCCUCUAAAUUGUCAAAGUUAUCUUCAUCCCCCUCACGUGCUCCUCCAUCAGUGCUGACAUCACCAGCAUCAUUAGCACCUUCUUGAUUACCAAAGUACCGACCACCUUGUCCAUUGCCAUAGUCAUAGCCCACUUCUUCUUCAAGCUCAGUUGUGUAUUGGUGCAUAUACCUCACGGUCUCGGUGGCAUCUCCUAGAUCAAAGUUUCCAUCAUCAGUAACCGUUGUUUCGCCAUGAUGAAUCCAUACUGUGUAGUUCGGAACAAAUCCUCACAUAAUUAUAUGUGAUCUGAUGAUAUUCACAUCUGCAAAUGCCAUAAGGUUAUUGAAAUCUUUGUAGGGACAAAUAAUUGUAUCCUUAUAAUAUGUCAACGUUAAUGCAUGCUUCUCUGCGGCUUUAAUAAAUUUAUCCACCUCAUCACAAAAACCUUCAUCAAUCCUUGACCAAUCAUACAUCCAAGAGUUCUUGUACUCCGUCUUUUAAAGCAAAACAAAAAUACAAAAUACAUAAAACAAAAAAAGUUAAUGAAGAAAAAUGCAAACUAGACAUUAAUUGUGUAUAUACUCAUAGUAGAGGAUAAUUAUUUAGUUGGCUAUUAAUAAAACUAAAUAUUUAGAAAAGGAAUAAGCAACAAGUAUUAUUUUACCAAUUAGCAACAAUUAGCAACAAAAUGAAAAUAUGAAAUACAUAAAACAAAACAAAUUAAUGAAGAAAAAUACAAACUAGAGAUUAAUUGUGUAUAUAUACUUGUUAUUAUUUUACCCAAUAAACUUUGUUGAUGCAAAAGUGGAUCUGCAAACUCAAAGGGCUAAUACCCAAUCUAAUAUCCAAAGUGUGCCAGUCGAUUUGACCCGUUAAUCGACAAGGAUGAUAACUCGAGUACUUUGGUCCUGACAACAGCGAUACGCCCGGAAGCUACGGCUAAGAGGUACUCACACGGAACUCGAGGAUCAUCGAAGGUCGCACUAAAGCGAUGCAGCUCGUCGAAUCGAUGAGAACUCAUAAAAAGAAAAUAUAUAAAUUGACGAAAUCACCAAAAAGUAAGUAGAUGCAAGUAGGAAUAAAAUUGGUUUGAUAUUGGUUGAUGUCUAUCUUCUACAUUGUCCCUCGGUCCAUAUUUAUACCCUGAUUCGAAGAAACAUAACUAGACACGACUAGAACACCGAGUCCAUAUCUAAGGAAAAACAUGACUCUUAAAUGAGUCAUACUCUAACAAAUACAGAAAAGGAAAAAGACACCUAUAUACUUCCUUGUCCGCCUUAAUUACGAUGAAAGUUUCAUCGGCUUCCGCUCCAUCAGCAUGCUUUCCGUCAUCAUAAGCUUCAUCGACUGUAGUCUUCAGAUCUUCCUUCAUCGACAUUGUUGACACUAGCUAACACCACUUAAAUACUAGGUUGUCAUCCCUAGCAUGGCGCCAGAGUGUACAAAGGUAUUUAUAAAUGUAAAGGCUCUCUAGAAAAUAAUCUAUUCUAUCCGCAAGCGCACAGAUAAAACACCUCAUUGUAGCAUUUCACCAGGAUAAGUAUUCCAGGUAUCGUUAUUUAUAAUUUUGCUUAGGGAUCUGAGGAAGAUGGAAUUAAAAUAAAGGGGGUAAAAUCUAUCAAGGCAUAGACUAGAGAUAAACUUGCAAGAACAUGAUUACUAAUGAGAAACUCGUCACACAGUCACUUACUUUAGCAGGGGGUAA
rnacentral:lncRNA from 1 species